UUUCAACUUGUCAAUUUUUGAAAUAGAUAAUAGGACUGUAGGAAAGUUUUAUCUAGUAUUAAUGAAGUAAGAGAAGAGAAAACAAAAAUAUCCUUUAAAUUAUCAUUAGCAAUUCUUUUGACAUAAUUGUUUGCUUUCUAACAUUAUUAGAAUCUCUAUUUGCAGUGUGAAUAUGAAUCCUCCCAGUACUGCUGAAGGUUCACUAUUACCCUGUUUUCCAUGAAUUGCGUCUUGUGUGAGCCUUUUAUUAGUUUGUCUUAUAAAUGUACCUCUUGGGGUAAUGAAAAGAGGAAUGAAUCCAUUCUAACCUUUUCAGUGCAUCCCUCUUGCUUCCUAAUGUAAAGCCUGAUGUGAAAAAAUGUUUUUAUUCUGUUCUUAACAUGACCUAGAUAUCUUUAAUGUCUUUCCUGGUUAAUUGGAGAUGGGAUGAGUUAAAUAUUUGUAUUUGUUAUUAAUUAAUUCCACUGGAUAGAUAAUAUUUCCUGAAAUCUUUUUGAUGCUUCUUAGUAUCCCAGGUAGAUUGCUGUAUGCAAAGGGGGAAAUACAAUUUAAAUAAUCACUUGGACUUUAAAUCAUAGAUUUUUUAAUUAACAAAAUCUGCUUACAUUAUAGAAUGCAAUUUGUUGUUCUACAAUUUUGUAAAUUUGUUUUAUAGUAUCCUCAUUGUCUUGGUAAGUUUCAGUAUGUGAAUGGCUUCAAAUAUUUUAUGUUAUUAACAAUGAUUCUUAAGUCAGGAAUUUCUGAUAUUCCCACUACCUGGGUUUUGCCGUGAUUAAUUAUUUAAUCUUGUCUUUCCUGCAGUGCUUGGAGAGCAGACUAUAGCUUCUUGUUGUUGCAUUGUCACUCAGAUGAGCUACAUUAUCAGGACAGCCUAAAUCUUACAAUGGAUUGUUAUUGAGAGAUGUGAUAUCUGUGUUCUCAGGAUGAGAUCAACCAGCAGAAGUGAGAGUUCAGACAGAAGUGCCUCUGUUCAACCAGUCAUUUCGAUGCCUUUAUUGACUCUUACAAAGACAACAUCAGUGCCAGCUGAGGAUCUCUCCAGAUAUUUUUAGGAACUUGUAAGAUGUCAGUGAAAUGUCAAAAGCAGUUAGUGAUGGACUGCCCUCCUAAUGGGAAAGAUGUGUGCUGUUCUGAUAAUUUACUAUAAAAAAACCCCAGGUGUAAAUGUGAAAUAGAACAUUGUUCAUUCAGUAUUUGGUGAAGAUUGUUAUAUACACUGUCCAAUUCUUAAAUACAGUGUAAUUAAAACAAAAACCCAAUGUAUUUAUGAUUUUGACUACUAUUCAGAAAGCACAAUUCACUUAAAUGCUCUGAAUUAAAAAAAGGUAAUUUCCCUGCUGAUAAUGGUAAUUCCACCAUCUCCUUAUGUGCCUGUUUUCCCCAAGUAUCAUUUGAUAGGGUUGUUGCCACCAUGCUUCAUCUGAGAGGCAGAAGUGGGUCUGGCCAUCAGAAAAACAGGCACAAGGGGAAUGGAAGCAGCCAGUUCAGUUUCUAGGGAGAAUGAGCUAGUUUGCAAGGGUCCAGUUUGGGGAUGAGCCCAGGAAAGAAGGCAGUAGCAGAGCAGGAGAUGCCAGGGAAAUGACUAAUGGCAUUGUUGUCCUUGUGGAGGGAUGUAAAGAGGAGAUAUCUGGGCAAUGACCAAUGAAGUAAUUUGUUAUGGAUGGCAUUGCACGUGAAAAUUAUCUAUAGUAAUUCCAUUUGAGGGUGGACAUUUUCCCCCUUCUCUCUUUUCCAUGAAUCAUUCAAAAUGGAUUCCAAUCCAACUGGGAAAGAAAAUUAAACAGACUCAAGGCUGCUAAUCAUGCACUGGCAAUUUGAAAAAAAGGAAGUAAUCUACACGGGAAUUGCAUACCCAGUAGGGACUCUAUUCUACAGCACAUUACACUUUUUGUAAUAGUCAUGUGGGUAAAAUGUAUUUUUAAAGUAUCAGCACAGGCAAGCAAGAUUUAAACCAGCAGUUCUUGGCCCUCUGGUAUCCCAUUAGGGUUGGGGAAGAAUAGGAAUUAGGGGAGGAAAGGGAGAAAGGACGUGGUGAAAGUGGGUUUGCUCUAGAUAAGCCUCUGCAUCCUGUUUCACAAUCUUGUUGAUAAUUUGCCCCAAUUUCCCCCUUUGCCCUCUUCUGAGCUGUGAACCGUUUUUACACCUUCAGCAAGAAACAGGUGCUUUGGAUCAUUUUUUAAAGGAAAAGCUUAGGAUGAUUGGAAAGAUGGCAGCAGCUGUCUUUAUAACUUACAGGGCCUGAGGUUUCUGCCUGUCCAAAUAAUGAAAUACUUCCUUCACAGAAAUAACGUGAGUUUAACCAGCACAGAAAAUAUCUUCUCUUUUUCUGCCAGGGACUUCUAGAAGAUUAAUAACUUCUCAGGCUUCUUGACCUGGUUAAAUCUGAACUAGUACAAGUAUGAUACCUCAGAAAUGAUAACUUCUACUCUCCUUUUCUGCAUGGAGAGUACCAUAAAUUAAAAAAAAAAACAAAACCAAAACUAACCAAAAAACUUAGCAUUGUCUUUGCUGACAAUCUAUUUAGCUGCAGCCUCCAAGUAUGUUAUGUAUAGUUGUGAAGCAAAGAUACACUGUUCUGCCAGAAGCUGAUGUCAUGUGCCUAUACUGAAUUUGUGCCUUUGUCUCUUUACAAAAAAAACUUCAUUUCCUUGAACAAGGCAGUUCCCUAAAGCCUUUCGAGAGUGGCCCUGAGCCCAGCUGGAAAAAGGAAAAGCUCCUGUGUGACUGAAAGAUG
rnacentral:lncRNA from 13 species